rfam:Colletotrichum fioriniae PJ7 Scaffold_1034.1, whole genome shotgun sequence.
GUCAAGGUGCCAGAGUGGUUAAUGGGCUGCCCUGCUAUCAGAUCUCCUGAUGUCAGUUUAGGCAGUGGCUUCGGUCGCGCAGGUUCGAAUCCUGUCCUUGACG